AGUUCCUAUCAUUUUAAAAUAUUUAUCCCCAAAUGUAAUCCCUUCGAGUUUAUUAUUUAUAAUGUCAGUGGUUUUAUUUUUUAAAUAUUCUAGAUUCUUACAUUGAUUCUUUCUGAUUGACAAAUUCAUCCAUAUCAGAAUUUUAAGUGUUAACACAAGCCCUCAAGCAAGGCUGCUGAAGAAUUUGCAUACUUUUCUAUGUUCCAAACUUGAAAUUUCCAAAGUUUUUAAUGCAUUACUUUAGACCCAAGAGAAAGGUACAACAUUUUCCCCUCUUGCUCAGUGUAAAGCUGAAACUAUUUAAAAAAAAUUUUUUUUUGAGAUGGAGUUAUGCUCUGUCACCCAGGCUGGAGUACAGUGGUGCAAUCUCAGCUCAUUGCAACCUCCGCCUCUCAGGUUCAAGCAAUUCUCCUGCCUCAGCUUCCUGAGUAGCUGGGAUUAUAGGUACAUGCCACCAUACCUGGCUGAUUUUUCUAUAUUUAGUAGAGACGAGGUUUCACUAUGUUGGCUAGGCUGGUCUUGAACUCCUGACCUCAGGUGAUCCACCUGCCUCGGCCCCCCAAAGUGCUGGGAUUACAGACGUGAGCCACCAUGCCUGGCCUGAAACUAUUUUCUAAUCUUAAAUUCAGAUUCUGGGCUUAGUCAGAUAGGAGUUUCCCUGAGCUGUCAUCAUUCCCGGCUGAAGUUAUUACAAUAAUCAGUUUCCAUCACUGACCCAGAAAAUCACUGAAGUUACCAAUUUUCUGUUAGACUCAAACAGAAAGAAGGUGACCAAGCCACUGAUUAUAAAGCUACUUUGAUUAGAGGAGAAUAUAAAAUUUCAAUCUGUGAUGAUGGGGAGGAUUUUUCAUUGGUGGGUUCCCCCUAAGAGAAGUGGGAAAAUUCCACUAAUUUGAAAACCCAUUUUUCAAAGAUUACCAUUUCAAAGACUGUAAACUAAACCUCUGUUGAGUAGAGUGGGUGUGGGGGCUAGAUGUGCAGGUGUGCAUCUGUGAGAGGGGGACAGGGAGAGAAAGACUGAAGCUGGAAUAGGAAUCCUGAUGGCUGUUCUUGCUACUCUCUCCCACCUUAACGCUGCUGCAGUAGUGAUGCAGAGAUACCUGGGCUGGAUCAUAAAGAUGU
rnacentral:lncRNA from 1 species